AAGAAAUCGUUAAGGGCGUAUGGCGGAUGCCUAGGCUUUCAGAGGCGACGAAGGACGUGGUAAGCUGCGAAAAGCUACGGGGAUUGGCACACACGAAUUGAUCCGUAGAUAUCCGAAUGGGGCAACCCAAUACAUUGAAGAUGUAUUACCUCUUAGGAGGAGCAAACCCGGAGAACUGAAACAUCUAAGUACCCGGAGGAAAAGAAAUCGAAGAGAUUCCGUAAGUAGUGGCGAGCGAAAGCGGAUUAGCCCAAAAGUCUUUAUAUGUUUAAAAGAAUGUUCUGGAAAGAACAGCCAUAGAGGGUGAUAGCCCCGUAUUUGAAAGGCAUAUUUGGAUGAUAAAUGAGUAGGGCGGGACACGUGAAAUCCUGUCUGAAUAUGGGGGGACCAUCCUCCAAGGCUAAAUACUCCUGAAAGACCGAUAGUGAACAAGUACUGUGAAGGAAAGGUGAAAAGCACUUCGAAUAGAAGGGUGAAAUAGAACCUGAAACCGUACGCCUACAAGCGGUCGGAGCCCACAAGUUGGGUGACGGCGUGCCUUUUGCAUAAUGAGCCUACGAGUUAAUUUUACUAGCGAGGUUAAGUAAUUAAGUUACGGAGCCGGAGCGAAAGCGAGUCUGAAUAGGGCGCAUAGUUAGUAGGAUUAGACGCGAAACCUUGUGAUCUACCCAUGGGCAGGUUGAAGCUUUGGUAACACAAAGUGGAGGACCGAACCGGUUGACGUUGAAAAGUCUUCGGAUGACCUGUGGGUAGGGGUGAAAGGCCAAUCAAACUGGGAGAUAGCUCGUACUCUCCGAAAUGCAUUUAGGUGCAGCGUCGCAAAUGAGUUUAUUAGAGGUAGAGCUACUGAUUGGAUGCGGGGGUUUCACCGCCUACCAAUUCCUGACAAACUCCGAAUGCUAAUAAAUGUUCUGCGGCAGUGAGGGCAUGGGUGCUAAGGUCCAUGUCCGAGAGGGAAAGAACCCAGACCAACAGCUAAGGUCCCCAAAUAUAUGUUAAGUUGAAGCAACGCGGUUGGACUGCAUUGACAGCUAGGAUGUUGGCUUGGAAGCAGCCAUUCAUUUAAAGAGUGCGUAACAGCUCACUAGUCGAGCGGUCCGGCAUGGAUAAUAAUCGGGCAUAAACAUAUUACCGAAGCUAUGGAUUUAUAAUUUUAUUAUAUCUGGUAGGAGAGCAUUCUGUUUGCGCCGAAGCAGUAUCGUGAGGUAUUGUGGAGCGGACAGAAAAGAAAAUGUAGGCAUAAGUAACGAUAAAGGGGGCGAGAAACCCCCUCACCGAAAGACUAAGGUUUCCUCAGCCAUGCUAAUCAGCUGAGGGUUAGUCGGGACCUAACGCGAACCCGAAAGGGGUAGUGGAUGGACAAUGGGUUAAUAUUCCCAUACUUGCUCACACUAAAAAGGGGACGGUUCGAUGUAGCUAUUGAAGACGGACGGAAGUGUCAAGGCCUAGCCUUCGGGCGAAGCUGUUAUAGUGUAAUCGGAUCCAAGAAAAGCCGAAGUGAAGCAACCCGUACCAAAACCGACACAGGUGGUCGAGGAGAGAAUCCUAAGGUGCUCGAGUGAGUCGUGGCUAAGGAACUAGGCAAAAUAGUCUCGUAACUUCGGAAGAAGAGACGCCAACAGCAAUGUUGGCCGCAGUGAAGAGGCCCAGGCGACUGUUUAUCAAAAACACAGGACUCUGCUAAAUCGAAAGAUGCUGUAUAGGGUCUGACACCUGCCCGGUGCUGGAAGGUUAAGGAAGGGCGUUAGCGUAAGCGAAGCGUUUGACUGAAGCCCCAGUAAACGGCGGCCGUAACUAUAACGGUCCUAAGGUAGCGAAAUUCCUUGUCGGGUAAGUUCCGACCUGCACGAAUGGUGUAACGAUCUGGGCACUGUCUCAGCCACGAGCUCGGUGAAAUUGUAGUAUCGGUGAAGAUGCCGAUUACCCGCAAUGGGACGAAAAGACCCUGUGAACCUUUACUAUAACUUCGUAUUGACUUUGAGUAAGUAAUGUGUAGGAUAGGUGGGAGACUUUGAAGCCGGCACGCUAGUGUUGGUGGAGUCGACGUUGAAAUACCACCCUUUACUUACUUGGAGCCUAACUUCUUAAAGAAGGACAUUGCGUGGUGGGUAGUUUGACUGGGGUGGUCGCCUCCAAAAGAGUAACGGAGGCUUUCAAAGGUACCCUCAGCACGCUUGGUAACCGUGCGUAGAGUGUAAUGGCAUAAGGGUGCUUGACUGUGAGACCAACAAGUCGAUCAGGUGCGAAAGCAGGACAUAGUGAUCCGGUGGUUCCGUAUGGAAGGGCCAUCGCUCAUAGGAUAAAAGGUACUCCGGGGAUAACAGGCUAGUCUCCCCCAAGAGCUCACAUCGACGGGGAGGUUCGGCACCUCGAUGUCGGCUCGUCACAUCCUGGGGCUGGAGAAGGUCCCAAGGGUUGGGCUGUUCGCCCAUUAAAGUGGCACGCGAGCUGGGUUCAGAACGUCGUGAGACAGUUCGGUCUCUAUCUAUUGCGGGCGUUAGAUGUUUGAGAGGGCUUGGAUCUAGUACGAGAGGACCGAUCUGAACAAACCUCUGGUGUAUCAGUUGUACCGCCAGGUGCACCGCUGAGUAGCUACGUUUGGAAGAGAUAAGCACUGAAAGCAUAUAAGUGCGAAACUCGCCUCAAGAUGAGACAUCUUUUAAGGGUCGUGGGAGAUGACCACGUCGAUAGGCUACAGGUGUAAAGGCAGUAAUGCCAUAGCCGAGUAGUACUAAUUACCCGUAGAUUUAUGGCCU
rnacentral:rRNA from 1 species